rnacentral:rRNA from 1 species
GGGGGAUUAGUGGCGAACGGGUGAGUAACACGUGAGUAACCUGCCCUUAACUCUGGGAUAAGCCUGGGAAACUGGGUCUAAUACCGGAUAUGACUCCUCAUCGCAUGGUGGGGGGUGGAAAGCUUUUGUGGUUUUGGAUGGACUCGCGGCCUAUCAGCUUGUUGGUGAGGUAAUGGCUCACCAAGGCGACGACGGGUAGCCGGCCUGAGAGGGUGACCGGCCACACUGGGACUGAGACACGGCCCAGACUCCUACGGGAGGCAGCAGUGGGGAAUAUUGCACAAUGGGCGCAAGCCUGAUGCAGCGACGCCGCGUGAGGGAUGACGGCCUUCGGGUUGUAAACCUCUUUCAGUAGGGAAGAAGCGAAAGUGACGGUACCUGCAGAAGAAGCGCCGGCUAACUACGUGCCAGCAGCCGCGGUAAUACGUAGGGCGCAAGCGUUAUCCGGAAUUAUUGGGCGUAAAGAGCUCGUAGGCGGUUUGUCGCGUCUGCCGUGAAAGUCCGGGGCUCAACUCCGGAUCUGCGGUGGGUACGGGCAGACUAGAGUGAUGUAGGGGAGACUGGAAUUCCUGGUGUAGCGGUGAAAUGCGUAG